AGCAACCGAUCCAAGUGGAGGAAUUGAGAUCGGAUCCUCACGAUGCGUCUCUCAAGAUCGAAUUGGAGAAACUUCACUUUAAGAUUGGCAUACUUGAAUCUCUCGCAGAUGAAAGAACUAGUGAACUGAGAAGCAAAGACGAAGUGAUAGGGGAGAAGGAGAAGACCAUCCAUGAAAAUUUGGAUAAAAUUGUUCUGUUAUAGAGCAAGAUUGCAUCCCUCAAGGAGAAAGGGAAGUUAGAUGCUGAUGCUAAAUUGGGAAAGGCAUAUAACCAUGUUGAUGAACUAGAGAAACGGGUUGAGAGUCUCAAGAAGAAAAUAGAAGCAAAAGACAAGGAAAUAGAAGUUUUUAUUUCUCAAUAUAAUGCCCAAAUUAUUGAAUUAAACUCAAAACUGGGGAGUGUAAGCUCUUAUCCUUUUCCAGAUUUUAGAUGCUCUAAUUGAGCUUGUUUGAUGUAGGAUUUUUUUUAAAGAAAACGAUUUGUUUUGGAGAAAAUCUUGUUCGAUGAAAAAGUGGAUUAUUUAGGUU